GGCAGCCCCAGGAUACGAUCAGGCACUUGUCUUUCUGAUCUACCAUCUGGAACUUGCCUUUCCCCAGAUGACUCCACGUACCAAAACAGCUGCUGGAACUCCAGUAGAUGAAGAAUCUAUAUUCUUCAUCUUGACAGUAGGAGGAGGGGGAACAAAAAAUUCUGCACUGCUUUGCUGUGCAGUGCUGUUCUGAAGUCAAUGUGAUUGUUGCCAUCAGGGAAGGAACAGAAUGUGGAUGUCAGAGCCUUUGCCAAAAGCCACCGGCAUUCUCAGUUCUCCAAACCCAGACCUUGGGUUCAUGUGAUCAGAGCUAGAGGUCAACUGUAUGGAAGACUGUCCCAUCUUCAGAGAGAGGUUUUCAUCACUUAUAUAUCAUUUAACCUCUACAAAAAAGAUAGAUCUUGGUGACAGAUGCCUUGUCCCUCUGCUUGCUGCUGUGUUUCCAGUCCUGUCAACCUUGCUGUUGUUCACAUCUACAGCUAUAAAUAAGGACAACUCACUCACAUGAGGCCGGACAAGCUGAGUCCCGGAUCUGGUUCUAGAGUGCUCCUGGGAGGACCAAGAAUGGUCCAUGGGUUUUCUGCCAGCUGGCCCAGGUCUGGCUGGCUCCAAGGUGUUUCUAUGCUCAGGAGAGAGCCAUCACCACGUCUCUGAAAUACCAGAAGUACACUUGGGCCUGUGCAGGGCAGAGAACACUGAGGCCAGUGCUGGCUCUGAGUGUCAUCAUCAUGGGGCUCUGAUGUCAGGACAGCAGGAAAGCAGCAUUGUUGUGGC